UACAGAGGUCUCAAGCGUUGUUCGGAUUCAUUGGGCGUAAAGGGUGUGUAGGUGGCGCUGUAAGUCGGGUGUGAAAUUUCGGAGCUUAACUCCGAAACUGCAUUCGAUACUGCGGUGCUUGAGGACUGGAGAGGAGACUGGAAUUCAUGGUGUAGCAGUGAAAUGCGUAGAGAUCAUGAGGAAGACCAGUGGCGAAGGCGGGGUCUCUGGACAGUUCCUGACACUGAGACACGAAGGCCAGGGGAGCAAACGGG
rnacentral:rRNA from 1 species